AUGUGCCUGUAGUCCAACACACUGGGAGGCUGAAGUAGGAGACUCACUUCAGCCCAGGAGUUCGAGGCCAGCCUGGGCAACAUAGUGAGACCCUGACUUUAAGAAAAAAGAAAAAAAGGAGAUGGAGGAAGAAAGAGUUUUCUGGGCUAAGACAAAUGUUAGUCAUGUGUAUCUGUGAUGAACUGUAAUGACUGGUCUACUUGUUCUGGAUGUCAUUUUUUUGGUGAUUAUUGUUUGGGGGAGAAAGAGAUAGUGGGUGGCAUGAGGAUUCAAUGUAGAUAGAUCAAUGUUUAAUGGGACUGAGGACACAGAGGGGACACAGAGGCGUGGAAGACGGGGUCCCUCGAGCUGCUCCUUGACACACAGACACAGCCUGGGGGACUUAGUUGCUGCCAAGCCAACUCUUUUGGUGUGAAGUGAGGGGGCAGGAGUGGGGAUGGACGGCCACUGAGGACCCACCACCCCAGGACGGCCAGGCACCUCUGGCAGGUGGGUCCAUGGUUACUGAUUGUCAUGGUCAAGCUCAGCUGGGCACUGGGUUCAACAGGAGAUGUGACUGGCCCAUUUUGCUUCUUUUAUCUGAGUCUGCACCUUUCCUAACUCAGAUUUUUAAAAUACUUUUUUCUUCAUACUUACUUUGUUUUUCUCUGUACUAAUACACUAACUCGGAUUUUUGGCUUUCAUUGGGCCAAGGUCCCACCAAUCUGGGUGCUCAGCCUCGUUUGGUAAAGCAAGAAAAGUAUCUGAGAAAUGUUCCCUAAAGGCUGAUUUCACCCCAAACAGUCACUCAGUGAGGCACCUCACUUACCAGGGACACACCCCCAAAAGGCCAUCUGCUGGCCUCUGGGUCUCACUCUGUUCCCGCAGGGUGUGGUGGAGCAGGUGUGGUUGGAUGACCACCAAGCUGGAUUUCAGUCUCUUUCCAGGCCCGGGGAACAAUCUGAAUUCCAGAGACUUGGCUUUUAGCCUCCUGUUAGAGUCAAGAAAGACUUCUAAGUCUUCAACGGCUUCUGAGGCUUUUUAUAUCAGCAAAGUCCUGCACAGCCUGCAAAUGAAGGCUGCCUUGACGCUCUUCAUUCUAAGGACAGAGAAGGCAAAUUCUGUGGCUACUUUCUGCAGAGCAGCAACUGGGCUCCUUCUUUUUACUUCCGUGGGGAGGACAAGACAUUCAUUUGCUUUCUGUUGCUGAGAAUGCCAUCAAAACAAAUUUUACUUUUAGCGCAACCUUUCAAAAGCAUCUUAAGAAUAAAGCACCAAAAAAUCCCCAAGCUAAUGUAGGCAUUCUAGUGUUUUCGUGAUUGGCGUUUUUUUUCUAAUUGUGCCAGUUUCAGCUGAAACAUGGUUCCAUUGUUUCCAUUUCCCACUGUACAUACAGCACUGGAUUCUUGGGGAGCAAAAGUACGAGGGCAGAUUGGGAAACCCCAGUUCAUCAGAAGUUUGUUGUUGUGGUGGUGGUUGUUUUAAUAAAGAGAGGAAAUUGGUAAAUAGCUCUGAUGUCGAGGCAGCAGGAGGUUAGGACAUUGAGCAACUUGCAACUGGGGUUGUGGACUCAGGGCUGAGCGGCAGGGUGGGCUCCUCCCAGUGCAAGCCUUCAGGAAUGCCAGCCUUGAGUUGGAUGGUUCUGGCUCAUUGUGUGGAGUUGUUUCACUCCUAAGUCGUCACACAGUUGCUUUAAAGAAGGGUGAUGGCUCCUUAGGUAGAUUUGGGUAGGAUGCAGCUUGAAGUGGGACAUCAAAUUCUUUCAUUGUCCGAUGGGGAGGUUACCGUGCAGCAGCUACUCCUUGUACUUGGAAUGAGGGAAACAGCAUCAACUAGACUUGAACACGGGCUCAGGAACCAGGAGCGCCAGCCGCAGAUCUCGCUCACUCUCACUGUUGUUUGCAACUUUGGGCAAGAUGGGGAAACCGAAACGGAGAGUGACUGAGUGACUUGCCCAAGGUCACACACCUCAGGAGUAGGUAUGUAAGUUGAAUCAGAAUUCAAACUGAGAAAGUUCUGCUCCAGAGGCCACCACCCUUAGCCAUUUUCAUAUACAUCCUCUCAUAAGGAGAGAGGCAGACUCAAGAAGAUGUGUAGAAUCAUAGAAAGGCUUCAGAAAGUCUAUAAAGAGUGGUUCAGGCAUUGGAGUCAAGCAGAUCCAAGUUCAAUUCCAGGCUUUAAUCCUUAUUAGCUGUGAGGCCUUGGGCUCCUUACUUUAACCUAAAGCCUAAUUGUCCCCACCAGUCAAGCCAGGCUGUGUUGGAAUCUGAGAACUAGCCCCGGGGGCACGAGGUAGAUUGAGUCAUCACAGCUGUGUCUGAUCUCAGCCUCUGCCUUCCUAGAUAAUAAAAGUGAGGCUCAGAGAGAGAAAGUGGGCUGCCCAGGGCCACACAGCAAACUAGUGACAGUCCUCAGCACACCUGGCCCACUGUCCUGUGCAUAGCAUCAGCAGCUCUAAGCCAACUCAUCUAGUCCACUCUGCCCCCUACAACUUCUUGCCCAUUUCAGGGCUCCAGAUAGGCUUCUGCCCACCUGCAGGGCCACACUGCCAUACUCGGUAGUCUGUGCCAAAGUGGGUAAAGCAGGAACAACUGGAGAAGACACAGAACAAAACAAGUGGGAAAAAAAUGUUCAAGGUCCAGGUAUAGGCUAGGUGUGGCGGCUCA